rnacentral:rRNA from 1 species
AUGAACGCUGGCGGCGUGCUUAACACAUGCAAGUCGAACGAUGAAGCCGGAGCUUGCUCUGGUGGAUUAGUGGCGAACGGGUGAGUAACACGUGAGUAACCUGCCCCUGACUCUGGGAUAAGCGCUGGAAACGGCGUCUAAUACCGGAUACGAGACGUGACCGCAUGGUCAACGUUUGGAAAGAAUUUCGGUCUGGGAUGGACUCGCGGCCUAUCAGCUUGUUGGUGAGGUAACGGCUCACCAAGGCGACGACGGGUAGCCGGCCUGAGAGGGUGACCGGCCACACUGGGACUGAGACACGGCCCAGACUCCUACGGGAGGCAGCAGUGGGGAAUAUUGCACAAUGGGCGCAAGCCUGAUGCAGCAACGCCGCGUGAGGGAUGACGGCCUUCGGGUUGUAAACCUCUUUUAGUAGGGAAGAAGCGAAAGUGACGGUACCUGCAGAAAAAGCACCGGCUAACUACGUGCCAGCAGCCGCGGUAAUACGUAGGGUGCAAGCGUUAUCCGGAAUUAUUGGGCGUAAAGAGCUCGUAGGCGGUUUGUCGCGUCUGCUGUGAAAACUGGAGGCUCAACCUCCAGCCUGCAGUGGGUACGGGCAGACUAGAGUGCGGUAGGGGAGAUUGGAAUUCCUGGUGUAGCGGUGGAAUGCGCAGAUAUCAGGAGGAACACCGAUGGCGAAGGCAGAUCUCUGGGCCGUAACUGACGCUGAGGAGCGAAAGCAUGGGGGAGCGAACAGGGAUUAGAUACCCUGGUAGUCCAUGCCGGUAAACGUUGGGGAACUAAGAUGUAGGGGACCAUUUCCACGGUUUUC